rnacentral:rRNA from 1 species
CCACCGCGGUCACACAAGAGACCCAAAUUAACUGUAUACGGCGUAAAGAGUGGAACUAUGGUGUCAUAAUAACUAGGAUCGAAAUACAGCUAAGCCGUCAUAAGCUCAAGGUGUACCUAAGACCUCCAUUAAGAUGGUCCUAGCAUUCUUGAUUAACUUAACUCCACGAAAGCUAGGGCACAAACUGGGAUUAGAUACCCCAUUAUGCCUAGCCCUAAAUCUUGAUGUUUACCAUACUAAAGCAUCCGCCUGAGAACUACGAGCACAAACGCUUAAAACUCUAAGGACUUGGCGGUGCCCCAAACCCACCUAGAGGAGCCUGUUCUGUAAUCGAUAACCCACGAUUCACCCAACCACCCCUCGCUAAGGCAGCCUACAUACCGCCGUCGCCAGCUCACCUCCUCUGAGAGCCAAACAGUGAGCACAAUAGCUCAGCUCGCUAGCAAGACAGGUCAAGGUAUAGCCUAUGGGGUGGAAGAAAUGGGCUACAUUUUCUAUAAUAGAAAACCCACGGAAGGAGGCGUGAAAUAGCCUCCGGAAGGCGGAUUUAGCAGUAAAGCGGGACAAUAGAGCCCCCUUUAAGUUGGCCCUGGGGCACGUACAUACCGCCCGUCACCCUCCUCACAAGCCACAAACCAUCAUAACUAAUAACCCUUACGGCUGAAGAUGAGGUAAGUCGUAACAA